AUGACAACUCCACACAGUUACACCUCAGUAGAAACAUGGAAGUCCUUAAGUGACCACUUUUUUGGUACAAUUGUACCACAGUGGCAAUCUCUGCAGUUCAACCCAGAGUACUGCAACACUGAGCUGCCUUCCACUUUGCUGAAAGACAUGUUGAAACUUUGUUCCAUGUUAGUGGAUGCAAUGGACACAACCGUGGAGAAGGGAGAUCCAGUGUCCACGCAGACUGAUGAGGUCUGUCUUCACUCAGUGAACACAGAGUCCCAUGAGAAAACAGAAACUCCAGGACUGGAGGACUCUUCAGACUCAAUAAACCUCAAGCUGCAUUUGACUGCAGAGGAGAGCAGUCUUGAUAAAACAUCCACAGAUGACAGUGAAAAUAGAGAAAUUCUAACACUGGAUCGUGUACCUGCACCACCCUGCAUAUAUCCAGAUAUUUUUAUAAGUUUCAGUGAGUCAUCUGAGGAAGAAGCAUCUGUGUCGUCCCAGAUGUUUCCUCCUCAAACCCAAACCACCGCCACAGUAGAACCGAAGAAAAAGUACUCAGCUGAUACAAAAGACUUGGAUAACAUAGAAGCUUGCCCCCUGGAAAAGCCUGUGAAGAAAAAACAACAUAGGUCAGUCCGUAAGUCUGAUUCAGAUUUUGGUUCUUAUGACAUCACUCUGGCAUCUGAUUAUCUGUCUGAAGAAAAGAUGUGUGUUUACAAAGUUAUUCAGUUGGUAGUUUCAGAGGCCACAAGCAAAGCCUCCUCUAAAUACAAGGACUUCACACGGCGUAUGACUCCGAACUCCAUCAGCGAUCGUCUGCUUGAAAAAAUCUGGCCUCAGAUUGACGAGAGAGAUUUGGAUCUAUCUCCAAAAAGGCUGACCAAUAUCAACAAGGACAUUUUCACCAACCUUUGCAAAGCACAUAACUGCAAGGAGAAAUAUUUGAUUAUGUGUCUGAGAGAACAGCUUGACGAUCUUACUGUCCCAACGUUUACAGAACUCCUGUUGGCUUUACCAAAAAGAGUACUCACUAUAUCUGAGAACAGAGAAGAGUACAGAAAAGUUGUUGAAAGCUUCACUAAAGAUUUGGUUCUGCACGCUAUAAGCAACACAAAUGAGGCAUGGAAAUUGCCUCCAGGGGCAGAUAAAGCCAUUAUGAACAGGUUUACCCACAGGAUUUGGGCUAAAAUUAAGUCCCAAAACCUUAAAAUGUCCUUAGAGAACACUGAAGAAGUCAGUGUGAAAGUCUACAAUGAACUCCGGGAAAAGUGGAAAAGUCCAAACACUGUCCUGGAGUUAAUGUUUAAUGGCCAAGACAAUAUUGACAACGUGAUUGUCAAAAGUUUCAAAAGAAAUGCCCCAUUGAAGAGACCAAGUUUUUUCUCUAGGAUUUUCUCACGAGCACUCUAA
rnacentral:lncRNA from 1 species